GACGAACGCUGGCGGCGUGCCUAACACAUGCAAGUCGAACGGAAAGGCCCUGAGUGCGUGGGGUGCUCGAGGGGCGAAGGGGUGAGUAACACGUGAGUAACCUGCCCUUGACUUUGGGAUAACUUCAGGAAACUGGGGCUAAUACCGGAUAGGAGCUCCCGCAGCAUGGUGGGCGUGGGAAAGUUUCGGCGGUUGGGGAUGGACUCGCGGCUUAUCAGCUUGUUGGUGGGGUAGUGGCAUACCAAGGCAUUGACGGGUAGCCGGCCUGAGAGGGUGACCGGCGACCAUACGACUGCGGUACGGCCCAGACUCGAACAGUAGGCAAUGGUGGAGAGUAUGACACAGUGAGCGGGAGCCUGAUACGACAACGCCGCGUUCGGGAAGACGUCCUGCGGGUUGUGAACCGCUGUCGCCUGAGACGAAGCGUGAGUGACGGUACUGGGUGAAGAAGCACCGGCUAACUACGUG
rnacentral:rRNA from 1 species